rnacentral:rRNA from 1 species
UACAGAGGGUGCAAGCGUUGUUCGGAAUUAUUGGGCGUAAAGGGUGCGUAGGCGGUUUGGUAAGUCUUAUGUGAAAUCUACAGGCUCAACUUGUAGUCUGCAUGAGAAACUGCCGGGCUUGAGUAUGGGAGAGGUGAGUGGAAUUCCUGGUGUAGCGGUGAAAUGCGUAGAUAUCAGGAGGAAUACCUGUGGCGAAAGCGGCUCACUGGACCAUAACUGACGCUGAUGCACGAAAGCUAGGGGAGCAAACAGG